rnacentral:rRNA from 1 species
CAACUCGCCUGCAUGAAGUCGGAAUUGCUAGUAAUCGUGGAUCAGCAUGCCACGGUGAAUACGUUCCCGGGCCUUGUACACACCGCCCGUCACACCAUGGGAGUCGGUAACACCCGAAGCCUGUAGUCUAACCGCAAGGAGGACGCAGUCGAAGGUGGGAUUGAUGACUGGGGUGAAGUCGUAACAAGGUACC